rnacentral:rRNA from 1 species
AGUGAACGCUGGCGGUAGGCCUAACACAUGCAAGUCGAACGGCAGCACAGUAAGAGCUUGCUCUUACGGGUGGCGAGUGGCGGACGGGUGAGGAAUACAUCGGAAUCUACUUUUUCGUGGGGGAUAACGUAGGGAAACUUACGCUAAUACCGCAUACGACCUACGGGUGAAAGCAGGGGAUCUUCGGACCUUGCGCGAUUGAAUGAGCCGAUGUCGGAUUAGCUAGUUGGCGGGGUAAAGGCCCACCAAGGCGACGAUCCGUAGCUGGUCUGAGAGGAUGAUCAGCCCCCCUGGACCUGAGACACGGUCCAGACUCCUACGGGAGGCAGCAGUGGGGAAUAUUGGACAAUGGGCGCAAGCCUGAUCCAGCCAUACCGCGUGGGUGAAGAAGGCCUUCGGGUUGUAAAGCCCUUUUGUUGGGAAAGAAAAGCAGCAGGUUAAUACCCCGCUGUUCUGACGGUACCCAAAGAAUAAGCACCGGCUAACUUCGU